rnacentral:lncRNA from 10 species
CUACUAAUUCUGUCCCUCUAGAGAACCCUAACUAAUACAUCUAUCUUGAUUUGAUUUUUGAAUAGGAUGAAAGAGAGGGGUCUAGUUUCUUCUUCUAAAUAUGAAGAUCCAGUUUUUUCAGCACCAUUUAUUGAAGAGACUGUUUUUUUCUAACUGAAUGGUCUUUGCACUUUUGUCAAAAAUUAGUUGGCUCUAAAUUCAUGGAUUUAUUUCUGGGUUCUCUGUUCUGUUCCAUUGGUCUAUGCAUCUCUUUUUAUACCAGUACUAUAUGGUUUUGGCUAUAGCAUUGUAGUAUAAUUUGAAGUUGGCAGUGUAAUAUCUCCAUCUAAGUUCUUUUUUCUCAGGACAGCUUUGGCUAUUUGGGGUCUUCUGUGAUACCACACGAAUUUUAGAAUUUUUUUGUAUUUUUAUGAAGAAUCUCAUUGGUAUUCUCAUAGGAAUUGCAUUCUAUCUCUAUAUUGCUUUUAGUAGUAGAGUCAUUUUUGCAAUAUUAUUUCUUCCAAUCCAUGAACAUGGGAAGAUGUUCCAUUUUUGAGGGACCUUUUCCAUUUCUUUCAUCAGUGUUUUAUAGCAUUUCUUGCAGAGAACUUUCAACUACUUGGUUAAAUUUAUUCCUAAAUAUUAUAUAUGCACCUAUUGUAAAUGGCAUUGCUUUCUUUUUCUUUUUCUGCUAGCUCAUCAUUUGUGUAUGGGAACACUAGUGAUUUUUGUAUGCUGAUUUUGAAUCCUGCUGCUUUAUUGAAUUUGUUUACCAGUUCUAAGACAGUUUUGGUGGAGCUUUUAGGGUUUUCUAUGCACAUAUUAUGUCAUCUUCAAACAGGGAAAAUUUGACAUCCUUGCCCUUUAUUUCUUUCUCUUGCCUGAUUUCUCUGGCCAAGACUUCCAGCACUAUGCUGAAUAAAAGUGGUGAAGGUGGGCAUACUUGUUUUGUUCCAGUUCUUAGAGGAAAAGCUUUCAGUGUUUCCCCAUUUUGUAUGAUGGUGGCUGUGGAUUUUUCAUGCCUAUCCUUUAUUUUGUUAGGUAUACUUGUUCUAUAUAUUUAUUUUGUUAUGUAUGCUUGUUCUAUACCUACUUUGUUUAGUGUUUUUUAUCAUGAAGAAAUGUUGAAUUUUAUCAAAUGCUUUUCCUGCAUUUAUUGAGAUGAUUAUAUGGUUUUUGCUAUUCACUCUGUUGCUCUUCAAUAAAUAUGAUGUGAUGUCAUUUUUUUUAUUUGAAUAUGUCAAAACAUCCUUGCAUCCCUGGGAUAAAUCUCAAUUGAUCAUAGUAAAUUAUCUUUGUAGUGUGCUGGUGGAUUUGAUUUCCUAGUAUGUCAUUGAGAAUUAUUGCACUUCUAUUCAUCAGCGAUAUUGGUCUGCUGUUUUCAUUUCUUCUUGUGUCCCAUUCUGGUUUUGGUAUAAGGGUAAUGCUGCCUUCAUAGAAUGAAUUAAGAAGAACUCUCUUUUCUUUGAUUUUUUGGAACAGUUUGAAAAGAAUGGGUAUUAAGUAUUUUUUUUAAUGUUUGGUAGAAUUCAGCAUUGAAGCCAUCAGGUCCUGGGCUUUUCUUUGAUGAGAGAGUUUUUAUUACUGGUUAUAUUUCAUUACUUGUAAUUAGUCUGUUUAGACUCUCUAUUUCUUUUUGGUUCAAUCUUGAUAGGUUGUAUGUGCCUGAGAAAUUAUACAUUUUUACUAGGCUUUCCAAUUUGUUGACUCAUGGUUGAUUGUAAUAGACUCCAAUGAUUCUUUGUAUUUCUGUGGUAUCAAUUGUCAUGUCUCCUUUUUCAUGUCUGAUUUCAUUUAUUUGAGUCUUUCUUUUUUCUUACUUUGUUUAGCUAAACAUUUGUUAAUUUUGUUUAUUUUUUUACAAACAAAACUCUUUGUUUUAUUGAUCUUUUGUAUUUUAUUUUUACUUUCAAUUUCAUUUAUUUUUGCUCUGAUCUUCAUUAGUUCAUUUUUCCUACUAAUUUUGAGUUUGGUUUGCUUUUGUUUUUCUUGUUCCUUGAGGUGCAUCAUUAGAUUGUUUAUUUGAAAUAUUUCUACUUUUUUCGAUGUAGGUGUUUAUUGCUAUAAAAUUCCUUCUUAAUACUGCUUUUGCUGUAUCCCAUAGCUUUUGAUACAUUGUGUUUAUACUUUCAUGUGAUUCAAGAAAUUUUAAAUGUACUUCCUAAUUUUUUAUUAAUCCAUUGGUUGUUCAAGAGCAUGUUGUUAAUUUUGAUGUAUUUGUACAGUUUUGAAAGUUAUUUCUGUUAUUGAUUUCUAGCUUUAUUUCCUUGCCGUCAGAAAGUAUACUUGAUGUGAUUUCAGUACUUUUAAACUUGUUGAGACUUGCUUUGUAGCCCAAUGUGUGGUCUCUCCAGGAGAUUUUUCCAUGUGCUAAUGAAAAAAAAUGUGUAUUCUGCAGCUGUUGCAUGAACUAUUCUGUCAAUGUCUGUUAAGUCUAUUUGGUCUAAAGUGAAAUUUAAAUACAAUGUAUCUUUGUUGACUUCCUGUCUAGAUGAUCUGUCCAGUAUUGAGAUUGGGUUAUUGAAGUCUGCAACUAUUAUUGUAUGGGAGUCUAUCUCUCCCUUUAGAUCUAAUAAUAAUUGUUUUCUGUAGCUAGGUGCUCCAGUUUUGGGUGCAUAUAUAUUUACUAUUGUUAUAUGCUCUUGCUGAAUUUAUCCCUUGUCUGUUUUAUUUUUAUCUGAUAUAAACAUAGCUACUCCU